rnacentral:sRNA from 1 species
UGUCGAAGCUUCACAUGAUUGAUGUC